GCCCCAGUAGCUCAGAGGAUAGAGCAGAGGUUUCCUAAACCUUUGGCCGGGGGUUCGACUCCCUCCUGGGGCGCCA
rnacentral:tRNA from 1 species